UUCUUAGUCUAAUCACAUUGGAGAUAAGUGAGUUGGAAAUAAAUUAAUAAAUAAAAUAUAGAAAUUUCUACUCACUUAUCUUCAAUGUGAUUAGAUGAUGAG
rnacentral:pre_miRNA from 1 species